AAAUGAACGAUUCUUUGGUCAGAGACUUUUUCAAAUUUGAGGAAUGGAAAAGUCUAAAGAAUUCAUUUUUCUUUGUGUAUAUCUCUAGCAAUUCAGUUUUCCCCACCACCCCCAUCAUUCUUAUUUUGAAUUUGAACCCCAAGUAUGUUCCUCUUCAUUCUUUAUUUCUUUUACCCUCUCUCCUUCUCUCUUACCUAAGUAGUCGUUUGUCAUUCACUAAGGUCGGAUAGUCACCACCCUUUUUACAAACCUACACUUGCACCACCACUAAGGUCUCUAUCCCUCUCUUUCAACCAAAGUUGUCACAUAUCCAUCAUUAUGACGGAAAACCAACGUCUGCCAACAUCUCUCACCACUGACUUCUCUCUUCCUCCACCUCUGUCUCUCUGAGAAACCCCAUACCAUCGUACGACCGUUCUCACUAUGGUCACACAUCGUAAAGAGGAAACCUAGGUAGGUCACGAUCUCUCCUCUCUAUCUCACUCAAUCCACACUCUUGGAAGAAGAACUGCAGCACCACCUCUGCUCAUCGCUUAUUUGUGUAUUGACACAUCACAAAUAUCAGGUGCUACCCACAUUGGUGAAACUUUUUGCCUCCAAUGAGCAAGCUAUUAGAGUGGGUCUCCUUCAACAUAUCGAUCAAUUGGGAAAUUUUGGCUGCUUGGUUUUAGUGGUUUGGCUUCCCGUCUGAGCAACUCCAAAGAAGACAUUAUGAAAUCAGGGGAAGUUCACACCACAUGUCCUGAUUUGUAAUGCUUUAAGGUUGAAAAUGGACAUACGAUGAUGGUACGUGCAAUGGGUCGAGUAUUUGGUGACAAUGAGCCCAGAAAUGGAGAAUGCAUGUCUGCAUGUCAUGUUCCAAAAUAAUUAUGGUUGUAUCCAAGUGCAAUUUGGUGGUAAUUGUAAGAUGGGGCAAUCUGAUGUAACAUCAUAUGAUGGUGGAUGGCUGUCUACAUAUGUUUUUGAUAAUACAGCUAACACCCAUGCCUUGAAAGUUGUAUGUUGUAGUGUUUAUACCUUUCUUGGUAUUUUGGUUCAUGAUGGUUUUAGUGGAUAUAAUAUAUUACCUACAGGUAUGUUUUAAUUUGGUGUGUUCGAUGUUUUUGCUGUGUUUUUUCAAUUAAGUAUUUAAACUGGUGAAAUGAUAAUAACAAUAUUUUGUACAGAUAUGGUCAAUAUUAUAACAUUUAAAAACAACAUAUAUGUUUAAUUUGUAUUUAGUAUUCAAUUUAAGUUAUCUUGUUGUUGUAACAAUUUACAUGGCUAAUAACAUCUCGCUUGGGAGAUACAUCUAAAGAUCGCGAUAGCUGCUGACCAACGGUUUAAUGAAAUGCCAACUCCUACAGAUGAUGAAAGUUAAACCUGAAGGGGUUUUUGCCAGUCAAGUUGGAUACCAGUAAUGAAUCUGGGUUGGUAAAUGUCAUCUCAUAAGGGUGUAACUCCGAAAACUUGUGCUAAAUGGCUUUUUCAUAAGCCAAGUAAAUAAUGAUUGUUGUUUUAAUGGGAGGAAGUGAAGUUCUUACUAUCUAAGGUUUCUUGUGGUCUUGAACUUGAAAGUAUGGAUGAAAGUAGGUCCGAACUCUGCCCGAAUGGACCCGAAAACCAGAAUUGAAGUUUUAGAGGACCCGAGAACCAGACCAGUAUAAACCGCUUCCGAUUCAGUUUCGGGUAUCAGACCGGGUAAAGUAAAGUGGGUAUGUAACCGGAAAUUGAUAAUUGGAACUGGUUUCGGGUUUUAGACCCGGAUAGGCAUGUAUAUUUUUUCUAAGGGCCGGAUGCAAGAAAUAACAAUACACUUUUGUUUUUUUUUUUUGUUUAUAAUAACCUACUUUUGCUAUCUUCCCUUGAUGGGUGUAGGCUGUAACAGGUAUUGAUGGAGGAAAACAAGAGAAGAUGGUUUGGGUGAAGCUAGAGGUUUCCGGCAAUGAACAUAGUUGGAAGCGGUGAAGGUGUAUGGUGCUGCCAGAAGUGGGUUGAGGUUCAUGGUGAUAGGUUGCAGCAGGUAUGAAGGUUGCUUGGCAAGCGGUUCUGGAAGGUGGCUGGAAUGGAGGUGUUCGGCUGGUGAAGACGAUGAUGCAACAUGUAUUUUUGGGUAUUGAUUCGUUUUUUAUGAAGAUUUGUUUUUGGGUGAUGCAACAUGUAUUUUUCGGUGAUGGUGUCGUGGUGGUUUACAGCUUGUGUUUUUGGUACAUGGGAGUUUUACUACAAAAAAAAAUACUCCUAUCUAUCCACUCUACUUUAUACUACUUUAUUUAUAUUUGUGUGUCGCUCCGUUGCUGCUGAAAAUUUGCAUGCAAUUCUUUUAGUCAUUAACUACUCAUUGUAUUUGAUUUUUUUUCUUUCGUUUAGUAUUAGACCUCGGAGACAAGGAUCGUUUGGAGACAAUGAUAAUGGAUGAUGUGGUGUAAAGUGCAAA